AUGCCUCCCACCCAGCCCUAGCCACAUCGUGUUCGAAAGAAAAAUAAAACAAAAUGAAACCUAACCUCUCGACUCUCAUUCGUGAAACCUUUCUCUCUCUCUCUCCCUCCCCUCCCCUCCACGAAACCCCUCUCUCUCAUGAAACCUCUCUUUAAUCUCUUCACUGUGCUUCGAUGUCCUUAACCUCUUCACUCUCCGACUGCCACCACCACCUCCGCACAAUCCUUCCUCAGGCGCUGUGCUUCGAUGUCCUUCACCUCUUCAUUCGGCGUCGGCAACACAAUCAAGAUUAGUUUCUGCUCCUCUUACUCUUACAAGUAAUUCUCUAAUUGCAGGGUUCUUCUAUUUGGUUUCUUGAGUUUCUUCUCAUUGAUACACAAGUGUUUGUGUUUGUACCCAGGUUUCGGUUCUCUUAGAUUGUUCAUCUUUCUCUUGGAUUUAGGGUUUGUGAGUACUGAAUUUCCGAUUCAGAGUUCUGCAUCUACCUUUCAAAUUUUACUUCAUUGAGUUCUUCAUCUGCUUUGUGAUUUGUGUACAGUGAAUCGAAAAGAUGGAGGGGAAAUGCAAACCAAGCCUUUCUUGGAAGUGUACGAGAGGAGCACAGACAGAAGAGGACCUCCGUCGUCCGGCAAGCCUUAAUCAAUGGGCAUUGCCGCUAAAUCAUGGAGGGAGGAAUAUUCCCCUGAAACAGAUAACCAUCCUCUCUCAGAUCCUUAUCCUUUCAAUUUAAUGUUUCAAACAUCAAUGGGUCCAUCUGGUUCGAGCACUGGAUAUCUCCUCGCCAAGGCCUGUUGAGAGUCUGUGAGUGAGGUUGAGAACUUUGUUGGAACUUCCGAUGUUCCCAAGGGAUGAACAAAAGCCCGGCCAAUCUGCAAGAUUAAUCUCACUGGGUGAAGUAGUGGAUUCUAAGAUUGUGGAGAAUGAAACUCUUGGCUACUUCAUCGGGAGAGUAUAUAUCUUCCUCACUCGUCUGGGUAUAGACAAGAACCGUUUGAGGUUCAGGCAACACCUUGCUAAAGAAAUGACUCACUAUGCUACUGACUGCUGGGAUGCUGAGAUUGAGACUUCCUGUGGCUGGAUUGAGUGCGUCGGUAUUGCAGAUAGAUCUGCAUAUGACUUGAAGGCUCAUUCAGGGAAAAGUCGUCUUGAGGCACAUGAACAACUUUCAGAACCAAGAGACAUGGAGGGGGAACUAAAUCAUAGCUCGGUUUCUACGGCUUCGCUCCUUAUCAUGGAUAGGCUAUCCUCAUCAGUGUCCAUGUUAUCAUGGCUGUCCUUCCUACGAUGGCACUCUUGAGGAAACAUAAUAAAUGAACGUGGUGCAUUUCAGAGGAUAUCCAGGAAACAUAUUGAUCCCUUGUGAAGGUCAAGAUAGCAUAAAGUGGAACUUUAUCAACUCACUGAAAGAGAUUGAUGAGAAUGAUUCAGUAGCUAUGCUGAGGGCUGCUGAGGAAGCCUUGGAAGCACAGAAAAAGGUGAGUAGCACAUAGCUGGGUGUGGCAUCUCAUUCCUGAUGAUCCUAAAUAUGCAGAAAGCAUAAAGCAAUUGGAGCAGGUCCUUCCAGGUUUUAUUGAAGCCAGAGGCAGCUGAAGGCUAAGAGCCAUUGAGAAUAUAAAUGUUUUUGAUUCAUGUAUAACUAGUUAGGAAUGCUCUUGUUUGGUACAUUAUCUAGUUACUUGAAUAUAUAGAUGUUUGAAUAAUUGUACUGGACUUAUAGUUAUGUUUAUAUGGUAAUAUAUCGAGCAUUACUUCUGGACAAACGUUUAUAUGGA